GGUGUUUGAUAGGGGGUGUUAGGAUUUAUAGGGGCUGUGGUGGCUUGGGGACCAGAAUUGGGAGAAUGGGGGAUUGAGGGGGCUGAGACUGUUCCCUAUGGGGGCUUUUAGGGGGGUCCUGGGGAGGUUUGUGGUCUGUGGAUGGGGCUGGUGGGGGUGUGUGGAGGGGUUGUGCGAGGUUAUAGGGGCCCUGUGGGUUGUGAGGGGCUCUGUGUGAACUUUUGGGGGUUUUCUAUGGGGUUUGUGGGGGCUUCUUGGGGUUCUAUGGGGUACAGAGAUGAAUAGGGGCUGAAAUUUGAAGUGGGAUUGGGAAUUAUUGGGAUUUAGGAGAUGGGAUUUAUAGGGGUUGGGGUUGAGAUUCGAAGGGGGAGCUGGGAUUAAAAGGGAUUGGGAUUAGGAAUUGAAAGAAGGUCGGGAAUUACUGGGAUUGAGGUUUAGGGGAUGGAAUUGGGACCCUUUCAGCCCUGCACACUUGCAGAUUUUAGCUAAAAUUUAGGGGAGAAACGCUGUUUUUUAGAGAAUUUUCAGCACGACCUUCUCCUGCAGCCCCAAUUUAUGGUUUUUUUCCCCCAAAUCCUGUUAUCUGAAGGCUGCGGGCAUCCCGUGUGCUGCUGGUGGGGCUGCGUGGUCUCGGCGCAGAGGUGGCCAAGAAUCUCAUCCUGGCAGGAGUGCGGGCGCUUACCAUGCUGGACCACCACCAGGUGUCCCCUGAGGACACACGGGCUCAAUUCCUGGUCCCUGCUGGCUCUGUGGGGCGCAAUAGGGCCGAAGCGUCGCUGGAACGGGCGCAGAACCUCAACCCCAUGGUGGAUGUCAAGGCCGACCCCGAAAGCGUCGAGAGCAAACCUGAAUCUUUCUUCACCCAAUUCGAUGCUGUGAGAGAGAGAGAGCCCCCAAAAAUGUGGGGUUUGGGAGGAAAAUGGGGCGAAGGGAAGCGUUGUUGGGGGUUGUAGGGUUUCUGGGUGGGUUUUGGGGUUGGGGGGAACGAGGGUUGGGGCAUGGAGACCCCAGGGCAGUGCUGUGGUGGUGGUGAGGUUGCUCUGCGGGCUGUGGGAUGGACCUGAGUGCAAAAAUCUGGGGGGUUUUGCCCCAUUUUUUUGUGUUAAAAGGAUUCCUAAAGUGUCUCGAAAUCCUGGGGUUGGGCUGGGGUGUCCAGUGAGCCCCCAGUGGGAUUGGGAUUAUGAAAUGGGACUGGGAUUGGGCCUCAAAGGGAUUGGGACUGGGAUUACGAUUGGGUGGAAGAGGGAUUGGGAUUGGGACUGAGAUUGGGACUGGGUCUCAAAGGGAUUGGGGUUAAAGGGGAUGGGAUGAAGGGGAUGGAUUGGGAUUAAGGGGUGGGGUUGGGAUUAAGGGUUGGAAUUAAGGGAUGGAAUUGGGAUUAAGGGAUGAUAUUAGGAUUAAGAUGGGAUUAAGGGGUGGGAUUGAGAUUAAGGGGUGGAAUUGGGAUUAAGAUGUUGGGAUUAAAGGGUGGGGUUGGGAUUAAGGGAUUGGGAUUAAGAUGUUAGGAUUAAG
rnacentral:lncRNA from 1 species